CAUUACUGAACUGUCAACACGAGUUGUUGCUGGCCCUCAAAUGGGGGCAUGUGCACACUCUGUUUACACAUCCACUCACACCUGUGCACCCUCUGUAGUUCUAUGGCGUGGGGGGCCCUGCCCUCCUGCUGUGGUUCUAUGUCUUUACACACACACUGUGAUGAAGUCUCAUGGAAUGUACAUCGCGUUUAACGCAAUAUAAUACAACUUUCAGCAACGGAUCUCUUGGCUCUCGCAUCGAUGAAGAACGCAGCGAAAUGCGAUAAGUAGUGUGAAUUGCAGAAUUCAGUGAAUCAUCGAAUCUUUGAACGCACCUUGCGCCCUUUGGCUAUUCCGAAGGGCAUGCCUGUUUGAGUAUCAUGAACACCUCAACUCUCAUGGUUUUCCCAUGACGAGCUUGGACUUUGGGGGUCUUGCUGGCCUAUGGUCGGCUCCUCUUAAAUGAAUCAGCUUGCCAGUGUUUGGUGGCAUCCCAGGUGUGAUAACUAUCUACGCUUGUGGUUUUCCGUCAAGUAACCCCCAGCGAUGGAGGUUCACUGGGGCUCAUAAAGGCCUCUCCUCGGUGAGGAAUGGCUC
rnacentral:misc_RNA from 1 species